GACGAAGGGGGGCUAGCGUUGUUCGGAAUACUGGGCGUAAAGCGCGUGUAGGCGGUUGUUCAAGUCAGGUGUGAAAGCCUUGAGCUCAACUCAAGAAAAUGCACUUGAUACUGGAUGACUAGAGGACCGGAGAGGAUAGUGGAAUUCCUGGUGUAGCGGUGAAAUGCGUAGAUAUCAGGAGGAAUACCGGUGGCGAAAGCGACUCUCUGGACGGCAACUGACGCUGAGGCACGAAAGCGUGGGGAGCAAACAGG
rnacentral:rRNA from 1 species